rnacentral:tRNA from 13 species
CGUCAGAAGUGGUAUUCGAACCCACGCCCGCAUUCCUGGACCAGAACUCUCAACUCUCUGCAGCAGAGCAAGGGAACCCUUGAGUCUGGCGCCUUAGACCGCUCGGCCAUCCUGAC